UACAGAGACGUCGAGCGUUGUUCGGAUUCAUUGGGCGUAAAGAGCUCGUAGGCGGCUUGUCACGUCGGAUGUGAAAGCCCGAGGCUUAACCUCGGGUCUGCAUUCGAUACGGGCUAGCUAGAGUGUGGUAGGGGAGAUCGGAAUUCCUGGUGUAGCGGUGAAAUGCGCAGAUAUCAGGAGGAACACCGGUGGCGAAGGCGGAUCUCUGGGCCAUUACUGACGCUGAGGAGCGAAAGCGUGGGGAGCGAACAGG
rnacentral:rRNA from 1 species